rnacentral:rRNA from 1 species
AGAGUUUGAUCAUGGCUCAGGAUGAACGCUAGCGGGAGGCCUAACACAUGCAAGCUGAGCGGUAGAGAUCUUUCGGGAUCUUGAGAGCGGCGUACGGGUGCGGAACACGUGUGCAACCUGCCUUUAUCAGGGGGAUAGCCUUUCGAAAGGAAGAUUAAUACCCCAUAAUAUUUUGAGUGGCAUCACUUGAAAUUGAAAACUGAGGUGGAUAAAGAUGGGCACGCGCAAGAUUAGAUAGUUGGUGAGGUAACGGCUCACCAAGUCGAUGAUCUUUAGGGGGCCUGAGAGGGUGAUCCCCCACACUGGUACUGAGACACGGACCAGACUCCUACGGGAGGCAGCAGUGAGGAAUAUUGGACAAUGGGUUAGCGCCUGAUCCAGCCAUCCCGCGUGAAGGACGACGGCCCUAUGGGUUGUAAACUUCUUUUGUACAGGGAUAAACCUACCCUCGUGAGGGUAGCUGAAGGUACUGUACGAAUAAGCACCGGCUAACUCCGUGCCAGCAGCCGCGGUAAUAC